GACAAUAUAUUUCAGUGGUAGAACACCGCUACUGGCCAAAAAGCGCAGGGCGGAGGUCGGCUGUUCGAUCCCGCUUGGUGACA